rnacentral:misc_RNA from 1 species
GCGGAAGGAUCAUUAAAGAGUAAGGGUGCUCAGCGCCCGACCUCCAACCCUUUGUUGUUAAAACUACCUUGUUGCUUUGGCGGGACCGCUCGGUCCCGAGCCGCUGGGGAUUCGUCCCAGGCGAGCGCCCGCCAGAGUUAAACCAAACUCUUGUUAUUUAACCGGUCGUCUGAGUAAAAAUUUUUGAAUAAAUCAAAACUUUCAACAACGGAUCUCUUGGUUCUCGCA